GUCAUUUAUCCUACCGCAGGCUCACUUAAAGGGAUAAAUUAAUUUGAUUGCGCUGUAUUUUUAUAUUUAAAUGCAACGUGUGAAAAAUACAAAAAAACUUUCCUACGCUCUUAAUGUCGUACGAAAAAUGUGUGCGACCUCAAGUAUUUUAUUUUUUUAGUAUAACGUGACCGAAGUGGUGUAAGAAUGCAUUGCACGCAUACGUAUCGUUUAGACCCGCAAAAUAAAAAUAAAAAAACGACGAAAAUCGCCCUAUUCUUCGUUGCGAUCGAAUAAUUAUCAACUUCAAAUAUCCCGUGUUGUCGUUCGCUCUAACUGUACGCGUUUGUUUCGCGCGGAAUAUCGCGGAGAAUUUACUGGGAUUACUUACUAUUGACAAACGAAAUAUUUCGGAUCCGUCAAAAAAAAAACCCACAUUUAUAAUAAUAAUUAAAACGGAUGGAACCGAUAAGAAAUACAGCCGAACACAAAUUUGAAAAAGUUUUAGACGUAUUAUUUUAUUCGAAACGGAUUGUAUACCAAUUGGCCAAAAUAUUAUACAAUUACCGCGACUGUAUUGACUGUAUAUUAUAUUGAAAUUCGUAUAAUUCAGUUGGUAGACCGUGAAAAAAAAAAAAAAACCGUACUCGUCUGUAUACCUCCUCCUCCUGGACAGCGGUUCCUAAACGGUGAAGCGCGCCACGCACGGACGGCUUACGACCGCUCACCAGUGGAAUAAACAUCAUUGUUGGGGCGGCGGCGAGGAGAUUUUUUCCGAUAACGAAACAACACUACAAUUUUUAAUCCAUAAUACUUUAUGUCUCCUAAACGCAGGGGGCAGGCAUGGCGUUUAGAAGGGGUCGGGGCAUGGGGGGCCAUGUCCCCCUAGACAACAAACUACCUGUUAAUAAUAAUUUCUUUCAGAAAUUUGUGUACAGAAGUUCAGAGUGUUAAUAGAUAAUAAUCACGGCCUCUGCAGACAGUUGUGCUAUCGCGUUAAGCGGCCGGGGAACGCAUUGACUGACUGACCCAUCUGGUCAUGUGAGUCAAAAAUAUGAUUUUUGACACAAAAGGAUUUUGUCCCCACUUCCCCCUAGAAAACGAACCUAAUCCGCAUCCGGCUGAAGGCCUAUGUAAACGGUUCUAUUUGUUAUAUGGAUGCUUGAAUUUAAAAAAAGUUUGGGAACUGCUGUCUACACGAUAAAAACGGGUUUAUUAUUUUUGCAACAAUGUUUUAAUUUUUUUUUCGUACCGAAUUACUUACUAUUAUUGUUUACUGCGUUUACCGCGUGUGCUGUC